GUGGAAAGUAACGAAAAAAGUUUUGAUUUCUUAUGUUUUAAGUGAUAUUGGAAAUUCUCAAAAAAAAUUAAUUGAAAUUGGUAAAAUUGACCGAAAAUGCAAGAAGUUACACGGUGUUCCCUCAUAUACUACCCAUAACCCUAACCUCAAAAAAGUUUCAUUCCUAUAGUUUUAAGUGACAUUGGAAAUUAAUAACCUCGUUUUCUUAAAUAAAAUGCUUAUAAUUGGCGGAAAAUCCAUUAAAGGGACAUAUAAAAUAUAAACGUUGAAAAGUUUGAUACACAAAGGUGGACAUAU
rnacentral:lncRNA from 1 species